GGUUACAAGAAGACAUUAUUCAUCAGCCAAUAUUAACAACAAAAAUGUUAUAUCCACGUUUAUUGAGAUGGGUAGAAGGUGGUUACCAACAUGCUGACACACAUAGAAAAUAUAUUGAUAAUCUCAUCUACACUCAGGUAAUCAAUUAUUUAACUCAAUUAAGAUUUUAAAAUUAAUAUUUAAUUUGUUCAAAUAAAGUAUAUACAUUUAUAUAUUUAUAUCCAUCAAGUUAUUGAAGAAAUAAAGCCUACGUAUGAAGAUAGAAAUCUACUACCUCCUCCUGAUACAUCAAACACUAUAGAAGAAAUAUGCCGUCAUUUGGAACCUAAAUUGGUCAACAUGUUUGAGAAAAUUGCAUCAAAUAUCACCCAAGAAACAUGUAGUCGUUUGAAACCUAUAUUUUUGUAAAAUAAAGAGAAAAAUGAGAUAUCAAGUGCAGUCAACGAAAUGUGCAGACAAUUUGAACCUAAAUUUUUGAACAUUAUAGAGAAGUUAAUGAUACAAAAUAAGAAAAAUGAAGACAAUAGUGAGUACAGAGAAUUACUGAUGGAAAACAAAGAGUUAAGAGAUAAGAUAGUUGAUAAAGAAAUAAUCAUACAACGGUUGUCUGAUGAAGUGAAAGAGUUAAAGAGAAACCGCAAUUGGGAAGCUACAUCAUAUGAGAUAAUCAAGGACAUGCAAGUAAAUUCUGACAUACCACAAAUUUCUACUCCCGUUCAUGCGAAUACGAAGAUAAAAGAGACUUUUGUUGCAAAUCAAAACUCUUUAGUGAAACGUGUCAAAGCGUAUGG